ACAAUCUUGAUAAUACUUGGUCUGAGCAUUAGGGUUGGAACACGGCUUCUCCUGUAAGAAAUGAGUCAUUGUCCUGAUCACAGUUGUGCUUGGAUUCUGCCCUGCCAGAGCUACGUGAAAGUUAGGCUGUUGGCACAGUCAUGGAGUCCGAAAGAGGAGUGCAGGCCUUGUUAGUCUGUCCUCCUACCAGCCAUGGAACAAAGAGCUACUGGUGUGAGGACUGUGACCAAGGAAGGAGCCAGGCCUCAGUGCCCCGGGAAGACAGAGGUCUCCAUGGUAUACAUCCUGGCAUAGCCUCCAUGAACACACUUCUGACAAUCCAGUAAAUGGGAAGAGGUUGAAGAGAACAGGUUCUACAAUACUGCAGGUGUAUUCCAGCAACUUGUAUUUAAUGAGUCAUGUUUCCAAGAGAUUCUGAUGCUUCAGUUCAAGACCCACUGCUCAGCUCACUGGCAUCUGUAUUCACAUUACUGAUAAAGGACCACGGGCUACACUUUCUGGGGUGUGAGCUAACUUCUGUGCUCAUGAAGGAAAGCAUCUGGCUGAGCACCAGUGAAAUGGCUAGGCCUAGACUGAAGGGCUGCCAGCGUGGUGCUGUACUUUCCUCCUACUCCCCCAGCGCUCCUCCCUUCUAGUGCCUCACAUGUGUGUGCCGAGUUGCUGCUGAGGUUUUCCAUGUCUGACGGCUCUCAGGAGUAGGGAUGCCGUUACACUUACACACAUUAUUGACGUAUCUACUCAAAAUUUAGGAUGUCCUUGAGAAACAUCUGGAUUUACUGUAUUUCCCUCCUACAUGGGCAAAGAGGCACUUACUAAAGAGUAGGGACCUGGGUAAGAGGCACAGGGAGGGGGGCAGGGACAGAACUGAGGCAGAAGGUGCAGAGUGCGAAGCGGGCAGACUCGGGUGAAUGCCCUCAGGAAGAUGCAGAGGGUGUCUCUGGUGUGGAAGGACGGACACACAUUUCUAAGGAACUGCUUCUUGAUAUUUAAAUGAAACCCUCAAACCUUCCCUUUGCUAUCAACAUUCUGUCUUGUCUGAAACACUGUAUUAAAUGUGCACCUUGUUUUUA